AGAGCGAACGCUGGCGGCAGGCCUAACACAUGCAAGUCGAGCGCCCGUAGCAAUACGGGAGCGGCAGACGGGAUAGUAACACGUGGGAACGCGCCCUUCGGUUCGGAAUAACUCAGGGAAACUUGAGCUAAUACCGAAUACGCCCUUACGGGGAAAGAUUUAUCGCCGAAGGAUUAGCCCGCGUUCGAUUAGCUAGUUGGUGAGGUAAUGGCUCACCAAGGCGACGAUCGAUAGCUGUUCUGAGAGGAAGAUCAGCCACACUGGGACUGAGACACGGCCCAGACUCCUACGGGAGGCAGCAGUUGGGAAUCUUGGACAAUGGGGGAAACCCUGAUCCAGCCAUGCCGCGUGAGUGAUGAAGGCCUUCGGGUUGUAAAGCGUCUUUUACCCGGGAAGAUAAUGACUGUACCGGAGAAUAAGCUCCGGCUAACUUCGUGCCAGCAGCCGC
rnacentral:rRNA from 1 species